UUAUCAAGCACGAAUCAAGCGAACCUAACAAAAUCAAACAUACAAAGCAAUCAUAAACACACAUGACAAAACCCAACCCCACGAAAUCCUAACGCUCUUUUUUCAUUGAUUUUGAGUAGCACAACAUGGUACAAACGAGGAAUGCGGAAUCAAAAUAACAAAACGGGACAAGAAUGCUACCAAACAUCGUAACAAAUCUGGUUCAUGGUAAUGGUAAAGGAGGUUUGAAGAUUGGGUUGGAAAAAGAACACAAGGAUGGACCAAAUGGGAUGGCAUGAAACUUGGAGUUGAAGAAAAGAUGGUCAUGGAGCCAAAGUUAGCCUCUGAAGCAAAAGCUUUUCUACCAAGGAAACUCUGUCAGAUUCAGAACCUUUUUGAUCAUGUGAAUACUUAAGGAAAAAUAUUCUUUUACGCUUGAGCCUCAACAAAUCAUUCCUCUUAUACAAAGGUGUUUUCCCGAUGUGUCUAAUCAAGUACAAAGGUUAUCCAACCUUUUGGUGAAAGUCUUCAAUUUCUCUUUUCUCUCUUAUCUAUAUAAGGAGUUUUAGGCUUACGAAGAAGUCUACAAAGAUAUACUACCACAACACAAAGCAGUUCACUACAAUCUCUAUUCAUUGAAAUUCAAAGAGAAGCUAAUUUAUCAAAUUUACAUGACUUAGAACAUCUUAACUUUGUGUAUAUUUUUGAAGUUCUUAAGUCUUAGAGUCUUUCUAAUUUGUAUUUUGUUGACAACUCUGAUUGUAUAUCAAGUGCAAGUUAUUACCCAAAUAUCUUAAACAAUUUGUUAUAGAUUCAGAAAUCUCUUGCUUUAGUCCUGGAGCAUUUGAAGUCUUUAGUUUGUGUGCUAGAGCAAGGAAGUCUUUAGCUUGUGGGCUUGAUCAAGGAAGUCUCAAACUUGUGUGUUUGAUCAAGGAAGUCUUACACUUGUAUGUCUGAUCAAAGUAAAUCUUUUGCUUAAA